UCCCAGGUUGCUUAGUGGUAAAGAAUCUGCCUGCCAGUGCAGGAGACGCAGGUUCGAUCCCUGGGUUGGGAA
rnacentral:tRNA from 1 species